ACCGUGCAGGGGAGGGACCUUCGGCACCAGGCAUGUUAUUGUCGGAGUCGAAUUAUCGUUUCACUAUUCUACAAGACCUUUCAAAUUCAGGUUUGUGAGAACAUCCAAUUUUAAAGACGAGUAAUUAAGCGUCCUUAAUGACCACAUACACAUUUCAUAUGGUCUAGUUAUACUCCACAUUGUGGUCAGAAAAUCCUGGCUCAUGGGCCACAUCAAACACGUAAUUCCUAUUGGAAUCCAGCCAAAGGGAGGAUUUCUAAGAAUUUGAAUAUUUUACCAUCCACAACCUGCACACAGAAUGACUGCUAUUGUGCAGUAUUUCAAAAUCAAAACUAGCUAAACUAGAAAAUCUAAACUGGAACAACCAUCUCAGUAACAGGUGCAAUAAGUAAAACCCCUUGCAGAUUGGAUUAGUUUAGAAAAAUCUAAGUUAUUUAUCUUAGUAUAGUAUAAGAUCAAUUAAUCAAUUGAUUAAUGUGCAUGAGAAAACACAGAUAUUAAAACAAACUAUUCUAAAAAUCAACCUGCAACAAAGCAUGCUGGGAAAUAUGAUAAUCAGGCCACUCUUUUUCACUCAGAGUUAACUGAAAUGAACUCAACACACCACGCGAUGGAAAAUAUUUAUUGAAUCAAAUGUCCUGUUCCGUUGUGCUGAAUGUAGGCCACCACCCACCUGUGUCACUUCAAGACAGGAGUCCUGGGCCUUAUACCGUGUUGUACACCCAACUACAACCACAUCCUGUCCAAGAUGGGACCCCUCUCCAAGAGCACCUGCCUUCAACUUCAUAGCCUCUUUGUUCGUCUGGAAACCCUACUAGAAGAGGACUAGUCCGUCCAAACACUCUGGUCCAGAGUGCCUGGCUCCUCUGCUGGGUGACCCUUCCAGAGGGAGCCUGUUUACCCCCCACAGACCCACCCCAAUCAGGGGUAGCCCCAUUGAACCCAUCCUCAGAGAGGCAGGACUGGGCUUCAAAACCCUUUAAUGGGACAUUUCCAACAGAAAAUAAAUGGUGCUACUUGGUUAUGCAAAAAAUAUUGUCACUUAUACAUUUUAUUUCUCAGCCACUAGGUGGCAGCAACUAUACUUAGAAUAUGUCCUACUGAGUCCGACAAAGAUCAGCCACUAGAAAGCUUUCUAGAGAAAGCAAUCAAAAGCUCUGUUAUUUUGUGUUAUUAGUUUUUUAAAGACUGUAUCCAAAAAAUAAACAUCAGGAAUGUAUACUCAAAAGAUUAAGGCAUACUGUAGCACAGCCAUUGUCCACAUACUAAAUCCAAUACAGUGGGGCAAAAAAGUAUUUUGUCAGCCACCAAUUGUGCAAGU